GUGGGGAAUAUUCCGCAAUGGACGAAAGUCUGACGGAGCAACGCCGCGUGAGUGAUGAAGGUUUUCGGACUGUAAAGCUCUGUUGUUUAGGACGAAAGUGCCUGUUGCAAAUAGUUACAGGUAUUGACGGUACUGAACGAGGAAGCCACGGCUAACUACGUGCCAGCAGCCGCGGUAAUACGUAGGUGGCAAGCGUUGUCCGGAAUUAUUGGGCGUAAAGAGCAUGUAGGCGGGAAUCUAAGUCUGUUGUGAAAAUGCGGGGCUCAACCCCGUAUUGCGAUGGAAACUGGGUUGCUUGAGUGCAGGAGAGGAAAGGGGAAUUCCCAGUGUAGCGGUGAAAUGCGUAGAUAUUGGGAGGAACACCAGUGGCGAAGGCGCCUUUCUGGACUGUGUCUGACGCUGAGAUGCGAAAGCCAGGGUAGCGAACGGGAUUAGAAACCCCUGUAGUCC
rnacentral:rRNA from 1 species